UGGCGGCGUGCUUAACACAUGCAAGUCGAACGGUGAAGCCAAGCUUGCUUGGUGGAUCAGUGGCGAACGGGUGAGUAACACGUGAGCAACCUGCCCUGGACUCUGGGAUAAGCGCUGGAAACGGCGUCUAAUACUGGAUAUGAGACGUGAUCGCAUGGUCGUGUUUGGAAAGAUUUUUCGGUCUGGGAUGGGCUCGCGGCCUAUCAGCUUGUUGGUGAGGUAAUGGCUCACCAAGGCGUCGACGGGUAGCCGGCCUGAGAGGGUGACCGGCCACACUGGGACUGAGACACGGCCCAGACUCCUACGGGAGGCAGCAGUGGGGAAUAUUGCACAAUGGGCGGAAGCCUGAUGCAGCAACGCCGCGUGAGGGAUGACGGCCUUCGGGUUGUAAACCUCUUUUAGCAGGGAAGAAGCGAAAGUGACGGUACCUGCAGAAAAAGCGCCGGCUAACUACGUGCCAGCAGCCGCGGUAAUACGUAGGGCGCAAGCGUUAUCCGGAAUUAUUGGGCGUAAAGAGCUCGUAGGCGGUUUGUCGCGUCUGCUGUGAAAUCCCGAGGCUCAACCUCGGGCCUGCAGUGGGUACGGGCAGACUAGAGUGCGGUAGGGGAGAUUGGAAUUCCUGGUGUAGCGGUGGAAUGCGCAGAUAUCAGGAGGAACACCGAUGGCGAAGGCAGAUCUCUGGGCCGUAACUGACGCUGAGGAGCGAAAGGGUGGGGAGCAAACAGGCUUAGAUACCCUGGUAGUCCACCCCGUAAACGUUGGGAACUAGUUGUGGGGACCAUUCCACGGUUUCCGUGACGCAGCUAACGCAUUAAGUUCCCCGCCUGGGGAGUACGGCCGCAAGGCUAAAACUCAAAGGAAUUGACGGGGACCCGCACAAGCGGCGGAGCAUGCGGAUUAAUUCGAUGCAACGCGAAGAACCUUACCAAGGCUUGACAUAUAC
rnacentral:rRNA from 1 species